rnacentral:misc_RNA from 1 species
GUGAAUAUGAAUGACAAUGCCAAAGAAUAGAAAAACAAACAUUUAGUGAAAACCUUUUCCGAUUUCUACAUGGGCGAAAAUACUUGCCAAGCCAGAUUUAGUUAGUACCUUACACAACUUUGCUUUUGUUUUUGCUUGCCCCUCCCCAAUCCCCAACACGCGCACUUGAGCAAGCAUAGAAAACAUCAAACGUUCCAAGCUAAACCAAAGAUAUAUAAGGAAAGAAUGGAGAAAAAGAAGCUUCUCCCAUAUUUGGAACCUGAAAUCAAAGAACAAGACAAAAAAAAAAAAGCAAGAAUGCACAUAACCUAACAAUCCCUACAAAAUAUUGGGGAGAUGAGAAUCCAGUCUCUGUUGUAACUCUUUAAUCUUCAUGGAGAGCUCUGCCUUCUGCUCCUUGUAGCUCUGCAACAGGUACUCCUUCCCUUCUAUUACUUCCUUCAACUCUCCUAUUUCCCUCUUCAGCAUCUCAACCCUUUCCCCAUCUCCCCUUCCCUUUUCUGACAACUCCAAACUGCUGUCCCCAUCCAGAUACCCAUUUGCAUGACCAUUUCUCACCUCAGAUGGCCAUAUAGUGACUGUUGGUUUUUCAUUGAUGGCUGCAUGUUUCACACAGUGAUCAGCAAUUGCCUUCCUCAGCCUCUGAAUUUCCCUCUCAGAAUCAAACAAAUCUCUGUUAGCUGUAUCAAGCUGUGACUGCAAAUUUGUAGAAUGUGCCAGCUGAGCAUUGAGCGAAUUCUGCAGCUCCACAAUCUGAUCCUGCAUCUCCAUUAUCAUGUCAUCUCUUCUCUUCAAUUGCUGCCUCAACUUCUGUAUCACUUCUCGCUUGCUGAAGAUAUCAGAACCAGAAUCUGAGACGCAUGGUGAGUCAGAGCAAUUUGAAUGGUAUAAUGGCUUUGGAGGCAACUCAAGACGAUCAGGAGAGGAUACCCACAUAAUGCCAUUCUCCUUGGUAAAUUCUGGACCAGGAACUGUCACCAAAGGAAGAGCAACACCAGAUUCGGACAGCAUUUGGUCACUAGGCUGGUGCUUCAAAUCUGCAAUGUCUUCAUUCCCUUUAUCAAACUCAAAACUCACAUACAAAAACAAAAGGGGCAAAAAACUUGGCAUAAUUAUAUAGUAACAGAUUCUAAAAAUUAUUCAAAAAAUUGUGUGAUUAUCUAUCUACACACAGACUUCAUUCACAGUACACAUCAUGCUAUAAACAUUUUAAAAUUAGGGGGAAAGGAAUAAAUGCCAAAUCAUAAUAACAAGCAUUCAUCCAGACACAGACAACUAAUAUCACGUCGCCAAAUGAAUGAGAAAAGGAAGGAGAAAAAUAAACAGGAAGGAAGGGGAGUGUUGGGAACAAACAAAAUUAUGCACAACGUAAAUCCAGUGCUGAUCCACAAAAAGCAGGAUUGGUCUACUAGGAUGUAAAAAACUAAUUUUUAAUGUUCCCUCAUCUGUUAAUAAUAUUAACACCUCAUCAUAAUUGCCUCAUCCAUAGGGGACCUUUUCCCACUUGAAAUAAAAAAAUCAUGCACAGAUAGGCAACUAUCAGACUGAGCAACAUUAUCAUAUAAUGUCCAGUAGCAAGGUGAUAAAAAUGAGGCAUAAUUUCAUUUACUUGUCCUUAAUGCUCAGCUUAAUAAAAAUAAUCAACAUACCUGACAUGCAGUUGAAGCAACCAUCAUCAUCUUGUGUAAAGGAAUACACGUUCGAAUGCAUGUGGCAGCCUCCUGUCCUCCUUCUGUCAGACGAGUUCCCAUUCUCUUUCAGACUAUUACUGGCAUUUGCCUGUUGCUUUGAAUCAAGAGUCUGCUUCAGCUUGAAACCAAGACGAAUUGACAACGUACUUAACAAGGCACCACCUGCAAUCAGAAUCCAAUUUGGUCCCUCAACCUGAAAAUUUUUUGCCGUCUGACCUCUAGGGACCCCAUUAUUUCUUGAUCUCAUUUUAACAGCAACCACAGAACUGUUGUCAAACUUGUUGAAUCAUCCAAAUAUGACCUCAUCCAACAAAUUAGGGUUUAGAUUCUCUCCCACUAGAAAACUCCGGAAAGACCGCCGCUUAUCUCCCCUUUCACCAUUUUCCGAUCAUUUUCCGUCGUCUCCCACUCUAAAACCUCACUCUCUCGUCUAGACAGUUACUGCAACAAAAGAAACCCGGGCCAAGGCAGAGUACGGGAGGUUUUGAAAUGGCCUCUUUUGGCUAAUUGAGGAUGUUGUUUUUCA